rnacentral:rRNA from 1 species
UACGUAGGGGGCAAGCGUUGUCCGGAUUUAUUGGGCGUAAAGAGCGUGUAGGCGGCCAGACAGGUCAGCUGUGAAAACUCGAGGCUCAACCUCGAGACGUCGGUUGAAACCGUCUGGCUAGAGUCCGGAAGAGGAGAGUGGAAUUCCCGGUGUAGCGGUGAAAUGCGCAGAUAUCGGGAAGAACACCCGUGGCGAAGGCGGCUCUCUCGGGACGGUACUGGACGCUGAGACGCGAAAGCGUGGGAGCGAACGAGGA